rnacentral:rRNA from 1 species
GAACGGCAGCACGGACUUCGGUCUGGUGGCGAGUGGCGAACGGGUGAGUAAUGUAUCGGAACGUGCCCAGUAGCGGGGGAUAACUACGCGAAAGCGUAGCUAAUACCGCAUACGCCCUACGGGGGAAAGCAGGGGAUCGCAAGACCUUGCACUAUUGGAGCGGCCGAUAUCGGAUUAGCUAGUUGGUGGGGUAACGGCUCACCAAGGCGACGAUCCGUAGCUGGUUUGAGAGGACGACCAGCCACACUGGGACUGAGACACGGCCCAGACUCCUACGGGAGGCAGCAGUGGGGAAUUUUGGACAAUGGGGGAAACCCUGAUCCAGCCAUCCCGCGUGUGCGAUGAAGGCCUUCGGGUUGUAAAGCACUUUUGGCAGGAAGAAACGUCGCGGGUUAAUACCUCGCGAAACUGACGGUACCUGCAGAAUAAGCACCGGCUAACUACGUGCCAGCAGCCGCGGUAAUACGUAGGGUGCAAGCGUUAAUCGGAAUUACUGGGCGUAAAGCGUGCGCAGGCGGUUCGGAAAGAAAGAUGUGAAAUCCCAGAGCUUAACUUUGGAACUGCAUUUUUAACUACCGGGCUAGAGUGUGUCAGAGGGAGGUGGAAUUCCGCGUGUAGCAGUGAAAUGCGUAGAUAUGCGGAGGAACACCGAUGGCGAAGGCAGCCUCCUGGGAUAACACUGACGCUCAUGCACGAAAGCGUGGGGAGCAACCAGGAUUAGAUANCCUGGUAGUCCACGCCCUAAACGAUGUCAACUAGCUGUUGGGGCCUUCGGGCCUUGGUAGCGCAGC